rnacentral:lncRNA from 1 species
AACCUAGGUUGUUAUAGAGACGGUGGAAGGAGGUAGUGGAAGAAAGCUCAAAGCCCUCUCACUUGCUCACCAAAAAGAUACAAAAGAGAGGUUUAGAGGAGGGAGAAGGCUGAAGGGCUAUCAGAUUGUUGUGGCAUGGCAAGUACUGGUGGUGGGGUUUGGCAAGGAAGAGGGGCGGACUAAAGAAGAGAGAGAGGGGGAUGGGAGGCGUCGAUGUUGGAGGAU